rfam:Agrobacterium tumefaciens str. C58 circular chromosome, complete sequence.
CUUCCUCGAUCUGCUGCGGGCAGAUGUAAUGGAUAUGCGCGUCCAUGCCGCCGGCGGUUAGUAUCUUGCCUUCACCGGCAAUUGCCUCCGUCGAGGGGCCGACGAUGAUCGUCACACCCGGCUGCGUAUCCGGGUUGCCAGCCUUGCCGAUGGCGUGGAUGCGGCCGUUCUUCAGGCCCACAUCCGCCUUGUAGAUGCCGCUGUGGUCGACGAUGACGGCAUUGGUGAUGACGGUAUCGACAGCCCCUUCGGCCCGCGUUGCCUGGCUCUGGCCCAUGCCGUCGCGAAUG